rnacentral:lncRNA from 1 species
GAAAAGGUGAAUCCCCAAGCAAGCAGCCAUGUCCCUUGCAAGCUGUCAAAGUCCAGCUGCUGAACACAGCAACAGAAGGAGAGACCAUCCCAUGCAUGACAGUUAUGCCAAGCAUCAAGACUUUAAACAGAAAAGAGUUUAUGUAACCGUGGUGCCCAAAUGCUUCCUCAUGACAGUCUCUCUCAGCCAAACCAUCAAGGCAUUGGGAGCAAAAGAACCCUCACAAGCCUAGAAAACCAGAAACAGCUUCUUCCAGAGGGACAAAUACUACUAGAGGGAGCCUUGCCCAUCAGCUGGAACACACAGCCCAAAUACUAAAGAGUCAGAGACUGUAUCAUCACCACAGGCAGAAGAAAGGUGAGGUAUUUUGUUUGCACACAGCUCUGAAACUUGGCAAGAUGGAGAAAGUG